UCAGCCCAGCUUCCUUUCUUCUCCUUCUCCUUCUUUCUCCCCAUUCCUCCCCCGGCCGCUUCCUUUCGAGAACCAACCUUCCCCUAUACACGAUCUUCUUCCCCGCCAGCAGCGUGCAACGUCUCUCAGGUUAGGUACAAACUUCUUCCCUUCGUCUCUCCCAAUCCUCUCUUUCAUUUGUCUAUCAAGCCUGGUACGAAACCCUAACCUGCUAUGUUUUAAUUUCUCUCUCUCUCUCUCUCUCAUUUAUCCCUCGUUUCUCCACUUCAACCCGCUCGUCAACGAGGCCGAACCUUAGUUUGUUUACCUCUCCAUCGCUACCGCAGAACCAGAGGCGACCCUCUCUGAAACCUGCAACUUCACUGUCCAUGUCCAUUCCCAAGGAGCUGUACCCUAGUCAGGACGAUCUGCUCUAUGAAGAAGAGAUACUAAGGAAUCCUUUCAGCUUGAAACUAUGGUGGAGGUACCUCAUCGCUCGGAACGAAGCACCAUUCAAGAAACGAGCUGUUAUUUACGAAAGAGCUCUCAAAGCUCUCCCUGGGAGUUACAAGCUCUGGUAUGCUUACCUUCGGGAACGCCUCGAAAUCGUUCGGAAUCUCCCCAUCACGCACUCUCAGUACGAGAGCCUCAACAAUACUUUCGAACGAGCACUCGUUACCAUGCAUAAGAUGCCUCGGAUCUGGGUUAUGUAUCUGUUGAGUUUGACGGAGCAGAAGCUGCUCACUCGUACGCGUUGGACCUUCGAUCGAGCUCUCUGUGCUCUUCCCGUAACCCAGCACGAGCGGAUUUGGGAACCCUACCUUAUUUUUGUUAGCCAAAAGGGCGUACCUGUCGAGACUUCCCUGAGGGUUUAUCGCCGAUACUUGAAAUUUGAUCCAACACACAUUGAGGAAUUUAUUGAGUUCCUUCUAAAUUCGAGUCUCUGGCAGGAGGCUGCAGAGCGGCUGGCUGGGGUAUUGAAUGAUCCCCAGUUUUAUUCAAUCAAGGGCAAGACGAAGCACCAAUUGUGGCUUGAGCUAUGCGAUCUGCUCAUUAAUCACGCCACUGAGGUGUCUGGGAUGAAGGUGGAUGCAAUCAUCAGGGGUGGUAUUAGGAAAUUUACGGAUGAGGUUGGACGGCUGUGGACUUCCCUGGCAGACUACUACAUCCGUAGGGGUCUCCCUGAGAAGGCAAGGGACAUCUAUGAGGAAGGAAUGAUGACUGUGGUUACUGUUAGGGAUUUCAGCGUGAUUUUUGACACUUACUCCCAAUUCGAAGAAAGUACGCUUGCUUACGUUAUGGAACAAUUAGAUUUAGAGGAGGAUGGGAGUAUUGAGGACGGUGGUAUGGAGGACAAUGCAUUUGAAGUGGAGGGAGAUCCACGCUUGGAUUUCAAGCUUUCAGAGUCGAAAUUCAAGGAGAAGAUUUUCCGUGGUUUUUGGUUAAAGGAUGUGUAUGAUGUGGAUUUAAGAUUGUCUCGAUUGGAGCAUCUUAUGGAUAGAAGGCCUGAGCUUGCUAAUAGUGUUCUACUCAGGCAAAAUCCUCACAACGUUGAACAGUGGCACCGGAGGGUCAAGCUUUUCGAGGGCAAUCCAACAAAACAGAUACUGACCUACACUGAAGCUGUGAGGACUGUAGACCCCAUGAAGGCUGUGGGGAAGCCUCAUACCUUAUGGGUUGCUUUUGCAAAGCUGUAUGAGGACCACAAGGACAUUGCUAAUGCAAGGGUUAUUUUUGAUAAGGCGGUCCAAGUCAACUACAAAACUGUGGAUAAUCUUGCAAGUGUUUGGUGUGAAUGGGCAGAGAUGGAAUUGAGACACAAGAAUUUCAAAGGGGCAUUGGAGCUAAUGAAGCGUGCCACUGCAGAACCCUCAGUCGAGGUGAAGCGGAGAGUCGCUGCUGAUGGGAAUGAACCGGUGCAGAUGAAGCUUCACAAAUCCUUGAGGUUAUGGGCCUUUUAUGUGGAUUUGGAGGAGAGCCUUGGGACUUUGGAGUCCACUCGUGCUGUAUAUGGGCGGAUACUUGAUUUGAGGAUAGCCACUCCACAAAUUAUAAUAAAUUACUCUUUGCUUUUGGAGGAGCAUAAAUACUUUGAGGAUGCAUUCAAGGUAUAUGAAAGAGGCGUGCAGAUCUUUAAGUAUCCGCAUGUCAAGGAUAUUUGGGUCACAUAUCUUACCAAAUUUGUCAACCGGUAUAAAAGUAUGAAGUUGGAAAGGGCAAGAGAGUUGUUUGAACAUGCUAUUGAAAAGGCACCUGCGGAAUAUGUCAAACCUUUGUAUCUACAAUAUGCGAAAUUGGAAGAGCAAUAUGGUCUAGCAAAGCGUGCAAUGAAGGUUUAUGAUCAAGCUGCGAAGGCUGUGCCAGAUAAUGAGAAAAUGGGCAUGUAUGAAAUUUACAUUGCUCGUGCAGCCGAGAUUUUUGGUGUUCCGAAAACAAGGGAGAUAUAUGAGCAAGCCAUAGAAUCUGGUCUCCCAGACAAAGAUGUUAAGACCAUGUGCAUGAAGUAUGCUGAAUUAGAAAAGAGCCUAGGAGAAAUUGAUCGUGGUCGUGCAAUAUACCAAUUCUCAUCCCAGUUUGCAGAUCCACGAUCUGAUGCUGAUUUCUGGAAAAGAUGGCAUGACUUCGAGGUUCAACAUGGAAAUGAAGACACCUUCAGAGAAAUGCUCCGCAUCAAGCGCAGUGUUGCUGCCAGCUAUAGCCAGAUGCACUUCAUCCUCCCAGAAUAUUCAAUGCAAAAAGAUCAGAAGUUGAACCUUGAGGAAACUGUGGACACACUGAAGCGUGCUGGGGUCCCUGAAGAUGAAAUGGCUGCUCUAGAAAGGCAGUUGGCCCCUGCAGCAACUAAUGCACCUGCGAAGGACACUGGCAGAAAAGUGGGCUUUGUCAGUGCUGGUGUGGAGUCGCAACCUGGCGUUAUCCGAACUCCAGAUGGAGGGAGGAAGGUAACUGCUAAUAAUGAGGAAAUAGAAUUGCCAGAGGACAGUGACACAGAGAACGAUGAAGGGGUUGAACUUGAAAUUGCCCAAAAACCUGUUCCAGAUGAGGUUUUUGGGGAUUUGGCACCGAAUAAAGAGCCGAGUAGGGAGGAACCUGAUAAACUUGGUGCGCUUGAGAGGAUAAAGAGGCAGAGACGGGCAUAGGUUGGCUUUAUAUCCAUAUGUGCUGGUUCCACAAAUGUUCAUACAAUCAUUGAUACUGGAGCAGAAGCCAAUUUCAUCUCCGCUGAUUUUGUUGAAGCACACAACCUUCCUUCAAAAGCAACUCUUCAAGAAGAUUCAUGUGGGGUUUUGGACCUACGGUUCAAAAAGAGACCAAUGUAGUAGUUCAAGUACAUCUACAGUUUGGGCCGCUGCAGUACCAUGUGCCUUGCUUACUCACCCCGUUGGCACACUGCUUCAUUCUAUUUUUCGUUGUUGCUGCCAGAGCUGUGCGCACAGAUGUGUCUCCUCUGAUAUAUUCUCUCUCGCUCAUCUCAGGUGCAAUCUUCCUUUUCACUUUUCUUAUUUUUCUGUGUGCACAGAUCUCUCCUCUGAUAUUCUCUCACUCUCAUCUCAGGUGCAAUCUGCCUUUUCUCUUUUCUUAUUCUUUUUCUAUUAUCUUUACUGUGUUAUUCUCCAUCCUCAUAUUUAACUUUCUUGCCUGCUACUUUCAAUCUUGUGUUUUUGCCCUGUUUCAGACAUGGAUUGGGAACCCAUAGGAGUUGAUCGAGCUCACUGUUUGUAAGUCCAAUUCGCCUGGGAUUUUGGGCAAGGGUACCCCUUCCAUAUUCAACCUAAUACCUGAGAUCUCAUCCUUGACAAACCCUCCUGUUGAAAGAUCUUGACCUGAACUUGAACCUGGUCCGAUAGAUCCCCACAGAUAUAUAAUGAGAAGAGGCAGGCAGGCAAAAGAUGACACCGAUCAAGGUGGUGAUGAUGUAUUCAGAGAGGAGAUAAUUCAAGAGGGACAGAUUUUCCUUGGAUGGUUCUUGUUGCCUGAAGACUGAUGACUUGGAAUGGUUUCGCGGUCACAAAUAUAAACAGAUGAGGCUGUAAUAGAGGCUUUGAGGGCAAAACAUGUUGGGCAAUGUUCUCUCCCCUCAGAAUUGAGUGAGAGAAGAACAGGGGGUGUGAUAACCUCAGAGCCCUGGAUGAUUCCCACUCAUCUCUUAUUUAUGUCACUUGACCCUCUCCAGAGUCGCAGACACUGUAGAGGAGCACUCCCCUUAGUCUUCUUGUGCCCAAGCCCAAAGGCCCUAACCAAAGGGCAUGUGGACAUGCACAUGCGGGCUAUAGGUUCACUGGGGAUUUGAUUGGGAUUCGUAAAAUUUUGAAUCCGAUUGAGGGAAUGCUGCACCAACGCUAGCUGUGCCGGCGUGACACAUCGUGCAACCCAGGGUGAGCGGCGCAAACACUGAUUCUGUCCAAGAGCCUUUUUUUCUUUCUUACCUGCUUGCAUUUUGCUUAAUAAUCUGCUUCAUAUUUUGCUUCGGCUCAACCAUAUCUCAUCCUAUAAAGUACCCUUCAAGGUAAAAGCCUAAAAAGGAGCAUUGGUGUACUUGUGCACUUCGGGAAAGCCUAGAAAAAACCAAAUCCCCUCCCUCUUGUAUUUGUUGCAAAGUCCAAACAUUGUGUCCUUGAUUUAGAUUUUGCAUGAAAUCACUCCUGCACUGAAUAUCUCUCUUACCCUAUUUUUUUUAGGAUAAAGUUUUUUUUCACCGGUGGCUGAACGUUGGGAGGGUCUUGAUGUGAUCCCUCAGUCUACCCAUAUCCCUUCCCCCUAUGUUGUAUGGUGUUGAUUGGCCCAUGAUAAAUGGGAAUGAAUUCACUGUGGCCUUAGAAAA